rnacentral:pre_miRNA from 1 species
AGUUUGAUUGCUGAAUUAUGUGGUAAGAUUAUGUUUAAGAAAUCCCUAAACUGUCUUCCAAAGUGGCUGUAUCAUCUUACAUUUCCAGCAGCAAU